rnacentral:rRNA from 1 species
AUUGAACGCUGGCGGCAUGCCUUACACAUGCAAGUCGAACGGUAACGGGCCUUCGGAUGCUGACGAGUGGCGAACGGGUGAGUAAUACAUCGGAACGUGCCCGAUCGUGGGGGAUAACGAAGCGAAAGCUUUGCUAAUACCGCAUACGAUCUACGGAUGAAAGCAGGGGACCGCAAGGCCUUGCGCGAACGGAGCGGCCGAUGGCAGAUUAGGUAGUUGGUGGGAUAAAAGCUUACCAAGCCGACGAUCUGUAGCUGGUCUGAGAGGACGACCAGCCACACUGGGACUGAGACACGGCCCAGACUCCUACGGGAGGCAGCAGUGGGGAAUUUUGGACAAUGGGCGAAAGCCUGAUCCAGCCAUGCCGCGUGCAGGAUGAAGGCCUUCGGGUUGUAAACUGCUUUUGUACGGAACGAAAAGACUCUGGUUAAUACCUGGGGUCCAUGACGGUACCGUAAGAAUAAGCACCGGCUAACUACGUGCCAGCCGCCGCCGUAAAAC